AUAUUUUGUCUAUAGUUUUUCUAUAUUUGUAUGUAAUUUGUUGAAGUUUAGAGUUAGACCAAUGGCUGCAGCCUGUUUUUAUGCUAUGUUUUUGGUGUUUCAUUUGGUUUUCUUUAACUUAGUUAAAAGUGAGAGUAAAUCUUGUCCAAAAGAGUUCAAUUGUGGAAAACUUGGAAAUAUGAGUUAUCCAUUUUCAGAAAUCAAGAAACCUCAUUGUGGAUUAUGCAAGAUUGAUUGUAAUAACACUCUUCAAAAUCCAAUAGUAGAGAUUGAGGGAGAGUUAUACAAUGCUUAUAAGAAGUGGUUUUUAGUUAACAGUAUCGAUCUUUCGGACCCUAUUCUUGAUGUUUAUUUAGCAAAUAGAAGUUGUAAAUCCUUUGAAAGGAAUCUAUCUUUUCCAAAUUCUCCUUCUGUUUCAUUUGGAGUGUUCAACAAUAUCACUUUGUUCAAAUGUAUGAAUAGAAGUAUGGAGGUUGAUGGUUAUUUUCGGAGUUUUCAGAACUACUCGAAAUGUGAUGGCUUUAGCUUAUACUAUCAUAAACCAAGAACAAAUCGAAGACGUAGUAUUCCAACUAGUGUUCUUCCUGCAAAUUGUGCAGUUAUUCGAUUGCCUUUGACGUUUCUUUCGCCUUCAGAACCAAUUCCUAGUGAUUUGUUUGAUCUAUUAAGUUCAAAGUUCAAGUUAGAUUGGGAAGUGUCAAGAGAUUGUUCUGAUUGUAUCUAUAGAGAAGGGCAAUGCCAAAGUAACAGCAAAAACCUCUUCUUUUGCUCCAAAGCAGCAAAAAGAAAUUUGGGACUGGUUUUAGGCACAGUGCUUUGUGGUUUCUUGAUCAUAGCAAUCAGCAUUGUGAUACUUAUAAUCUGCUGUUGCAAAAAGGGUAAUAGAAGUUUUGCGAAUAUUCUUCCGAGAAGUACCCCUUCUGAGCCCUCAACACUAAGCUACGAAUUAGACAGCGGGUUCUUUGGCGUUCCCGUCUUCACUUAUGCUGAACUUCAACAAGCUACCAUGAAUUUUGAUUCCUCUAGAGAACUUGGAGAUGGAGGAUAUGGAACAGUUUACUAUGGGAAACUUCAGGAUGGAAGAGAAGUUGCAGUGAAACGCCUGUACGACCACAAUGCUAGGAGAAAGGAGCAGUUUAUAACUGAGAUUGAAAUUCUAACAAGGCUAAGGCACAAAAAUCUUGUUUCUCUUUAUGGUUGCACGUCUAGACUCAGCGAUCAACUUCUACUAGUUUACGAGUAUGUCCCUAAUGGAACGAUCGCUGAUCACUUGCAUGGUCAUAAGACGAAGGAUUGCUCGCUCACAUGGCCUAUUCGCAUGAAAAUUGCUAUUGAAGCUGCUAGUGCUCUGGCUUAUCUGCAUGCUUCUGGUAUAAUCCACCGCGAUGUGAAGAGUAACAACAUACUACUUGAUCAGAACUUCAGUGUCAAAGUCGGAGAUUUUGGGCUUUCAAGACCUCAUCCGACUGACAUUUCUCACAUAUCAACUGCACCUCAGGGUACCCCUGGCUACGUCGAUCCAAAGUACCACGAAUGUUACCAGCUGACUGAUAAAAGUGAUGUUUAUAGCUUCGGGGUAGUCCUCGUUGAGCUGAUAUCAUCAAUGCCUGCAGUGGAUUUCAGUAGACGUAACGAAGAGAUUAACUUGUCUAACUAUGCAAUAAACAGGAUUUUAAGGUGUGCAUUCGACGACUUGAUUGACCAAUCUCUUGGUUUUCAUUCAGAUGCAGAAGUUAAGAGAAUGACUACCUUAGUGGCGGAGCUAUCUUUUCGAUGCUUGCAACUCAACAAGGACAUGAGACCUAGUAUGGUUGAAGUACAAGAAACAUUGCAAGAGAUUCAACAAGGUAAUUGUUUCAUGCUCAUUGAAGGGGAGCCUUAGCGUAACGAGUAAAGUUGCUGCCAUGUGACCAGGAGGUCACGAGUUUAAGCCGUGGAAAUAGCCUUUUGCAGAAACGCAAGGUUGUUGAUGGCUCGACCGGGGAAUCUAGUCAUCAGCCAUAUCUACACGGAGCAGAACCGGGUGGCAGACCUCCUAGCUAAAGAGGGAGCAAAGAAGAAGCUUUUUGACAAACCAAGAAUUUUGGUAGUUCCUCCGAUGUUUGCUAAUGAUACAGUAUGGGCAGACAUCUUAGGAACUACAUUUGAUAGAAAAACUGCGGAAUGUAACAUUGCUAAUAUUUUUGGAUACAAUGUUGGCCACCUAGACAACUCUAUAAACAUGAUUAUGAUGUAAUUAUUAGUUACUUAUAAUGAUAAUCUAGUUCACCUAAAAAAUAUGAGAAAAGAAGAAAGCAAAAUAAAAAGAAUUAUUUCACAUCACACUUCUAUACACCAACCCAUUGGUGGAUCCACUCAUGUAAUUGACACUCCUUCGCAGAAAAUUAUGUA